UAGCAGCCUGUGAUGUCAUUUCAGGGAGCCUUUGUCAUGCUUGCCUGCUGAGAUCUCAUGUUCCAGGAAGGCAAGGAAAAGAUGAUUGUGGCAACAUAAGCCUGCAGGGAGAUGCAGGGGAUCACCGAGCACAUCUGGCUGGUUGGGGACCUGGAUGUAGCAAGGAGGCUCGGACUUGCCCUUGGCCCACAGAGGAGUCCAGAAGACAUCUAACAAUCACUCUGACAGCCAGGUCUUUUGGUUCUCUGGCCUAGAGCAGCCAGCCUGGGGCUGUUGAGAGUCUGGAUCACAGUGUCAUCAUAUCCUCUGCACUUCUGGGCUCAUAUCCAUGGCAGGAUGCCAGUGGGUUCGAGGGCAGCUGCCCCAAGGGAGGGACAUUGCUGCUUAUCCUUGGUAGAAGACUGGCAGUUGCAAGGAAUAGUGCCUGAAGGUGAGGCUCCAUGUUUUGCCAGCUUCUGAUUCACCCUUGAAAUGUCACAUAAGGCAGGAACACUUAGGCUCAAGAGCAAGUCAGAAAUUUACCUUGUGACCCC
rnacentral:lncRNA from 1 species